UCAGGCCAUCUGGAUGUAUAUGUGCAGGCUUGGGCUCAGAGGCCUGACACUCAGCAGCUACUACCACCAUUGGCACCACUGGCACCACUGCCACCACCCCACUGCACCCCAGUUGCUUCACUCUCCAUCACAGAAGCCUUUUCAGCAACAGCCAACAUUUGUACCCUCACCAAGCCCUCUGAUUUUCCCAAUCACAAGGCCUUCACUACAAUAUUUUCUUCAUUCACAAGUGUCACCUAUUCUCCAUCCCCAAGGCUUACUUCCUUCAACGCUGACCAUUCCUCCAGCAUUUCUUAUUCUAAAGAGGAACAGAUUCAGGUUGCAUCAGCUGUCCUCCUAUGUCCACAAUCCAAAUGCUAUGGGAUACUAUGGCAGACAAGUUUUCCAGUUCUUCAGGAAGUAGCAACUAGAAUCAAGGAAUUUGAGGACCAAAGCACCACAAACACAAGAGUAAGCACAGCAAAUAUGACAAGGGGACUGAAGUAAGCCCCUAUGGGAAUAGGAUCUGCUGAAGGAAUCAAGAGGGAUGGACAAAGGAACAGAAGACACUCAAGAAUAACUUCAGGAAGUCUCCUUACCGCCUCACCUGCUUUCCCUCUGUCCUACACAUCCAGCCUUGCAAAGAAAUAAGAGUAAAGAGAAAAGUCCAUGUAGCACCAUCCCAGUUCAGAAGCAACCCCCAAGAUAUGGGUCAACUUUAUCACCUCAAACUCUACUCAUUUAUAAUGACAAAAUUCAACUGUUAACACAUAGCAAAGACUCAAAAGAGAUUCUGCAUUUCAC
rnacentral:lncRNA from 1 species